CCCGAGUGGGUGUGAUCUCAGAGCCGGGAUGCGCUCUCGCGCCCGGAGUUCACACUGGGCCUCGACCAAAACCUCCAGAGCAGGCAAGCUGCCCUUUGGGCUACGCUAUUUAGGCAUGACUAAGAGAUAUUGUGAAAUUACAACCCAACAAUGCUUUGUGGGACAGGCGUUCCCACACCUAAGAAAUUGUCCAGCGUUGAACCAGCAUGUCUCAAAAUGGCAUCUGCGGAUGAACUGCAGGCGGCUGGAGACAGAUUUGCUGACCUCUAAUUGUCGAGGGUUCCAGAGUGGCACAAACCCAUGGUAUUCAUCUGAACUCUUCCAAAUCCUAGAACGGGUCAUAGAAGGUGCUUCAUCUGUGAUGACUGAGUGA
rnacentral:lncRNA from 1 species